ACACUGAUGGUGAAACGGUAUCAUGCUUGCCUUCCAGACAGAGAUCCAGUUGUUCUUAGCAAGCGGCGUGGGUUCGACUCCCGCUCAGUGUA
rnacentral:tRNA from 1 species